rnacentral:rRNA from 1 species
CAAUAGCGUAUAUUAAAGUUGUUGCAGUUAAAAAGCUCGUAGUUGGAUUUGUGGUGUACUUCGGCGGCCCGUCACUAUGUGAUGGAGCUUGCUGAAGUCGCCAUCCUUGGGUGGAUCCUGUGUGGCAUUAAGUUGUCGUGCAGGGGAUGCCCAUCGUUUACUGUGAAAAAAUUAGAGUGUUCAAAGCAGGCUUAUGCCGUUGAAUAUAUUAGCAUGGAAUAAUAAGAUAGGACCUUGGUACUAUUUUGUUGGUCUGCGCACCAAGGUAAUGAUUAAUAGGGACAGUUGGGGGUAUUCGUAUUUCAUUGUCAGAGGUGAAAUUCUUGGAUUUUUGAAAGACGAACUACUGCGAAAGCAUUUACCAAGGAUGUUUUCAUUAA